AACGAACGCUGGCGGCAGGCUUAACACAUGCAAGUCGAACGCAUCGCAAGAUGAGUGGCAGACGGGUGAGUAACGCGUGGGAACAUACCCUUUUCUACGGAAUAGCUCUGGGAAACUGGAAUUAAUACCGUAUACGCCCUACGGGGGAAAGAUUGAUCGGGGAAGGAUUGGCCCGCGUUGGAUUAGCUAGUUGGUGGGGUAAAGGCCUACCAAGGCGACGAUCCAUAGCUGGUCUGAGAGGAUGAUCAGCCACAUUGGGACGGAGACACGGCCCAACCUCCUGCGCGAGACAGCAGUGGAGACUAUGGAACUAUCGGCGCAAGCCUGAUCCGGCCAUGCCGGGUGUGUGAUGAGGGUCUUAGGGUUUCAAAGCUCUUUCGCCGAUGAAGAUAAUGACGGUAGGCGGAGAAGACGGCCCGGCUAACUUCGUGCCAGCCGCCGCCGUAA
rnacentral:rRNA from 1 species